UUUUCCUGUCGUCUGCCUUCAUUGCAUUAUCCACAAAUGUCAGCAGAGAUUGAUCUGGCUCCCCAAGCUGUAACAACUUCACCAUGCUACGCAUUACAUAAGAUACACAAUUUUUUUCUUUGAAAACACUGGAUUCAAAAAUAACUGGCACUCCCAAGAUUAAUAUUCAGUGAAGCCUGACCUGGCAAUCCAAAAGCACUCAGCCUCUUCCUGCAAAGUUUAAACAGGAAUCUCCUCCUUAGUCUCAGAAUAUCAGCUCGCUGGUCUUUUACUGCAAUUAAGUGUACAAAAAUGAGAGUGAGACAAGAAAGAAGAGUAUGGAAUCAAUUACUACUGCUUUGCCUUAUUUUAAAAAGUUAUAACAAUGAAGAGUCCGAUGAGUCAUCGGUCAACUACAAGGGAACAGGACGGAGGAGGAGGUGGUGAGAACUGUAGAGGGUCACAUGCUCCCCCGAUCUCACACUGCGCUUUUCAAAUAAAGAUGUGCUAUAACAGAGGUGAACUAAGAUGAGGCGUAAAGGCGAAAAAUUGUAGCGUUUGGAUGCAGCAACAGGUUGGGCGACAUCCUGCCAGUGAAUCUGCCACAUGCAUGUCCUUCAACGAAAUAGCAAGGCCCACUGAGCUUGCCAAGGUUCUUAUGGGAUUAGCAUGGUCGCUGCAAAAAAAAAAAAAUAUAUCAACGACAGAACAGCAAGCUUACGGCAAUACUUCCUCACCAUGAUCAUCAAGGAUACUCCUUCGCAAGAGUAAAUAAGUAAAGUCGGCAUGCAUAUUUACCCACUCCACUCACUGGAAGAGUCAAAUACGGGAAAUCCGAUGCAUCUCUCACUUGUAUGCUCCUGUAUUGCACUACAUUCUCUCUCCAUUAUUGUUUUGUGUGCAUUAAUUGGAAUUGGAUAGCAAUUGAUUACACCGAAAUAUGUUACGUAACUGCAUUGGUUUUGACGGAUUAUUGUAUUGUCAUCGAUACUGAACACAUAAGCAAAAUUUGAAGAAAUUCACUUUGCUAAAAGUGGGUUUAGAAUCAGUUGAAAGAUUUGAUCCAGACAAACAAACAGAGGAGCCAAGUUAAAUAAAAGCGUUUAAUAAAAAAUGUUUCAAAUCAGUGUGAGUAUUUAAGGAAAAAUCCAUGUUCGGAAAAUUGAUGUAUAUUGAUGCAUACAGCUAUAUGUCACUGGGACAAUAAAGUGUAAUACUGUACACACAUAAAAAGAACAAACAAUGACAGCAUAUACUUGGUAGUUUGUAUUUCUGUAUUUUUUAGCAUUAUGUUUUUCUGCUUA